AAUCUACAUUGCACAGCUCAGUUUCAAUUCCGAAUCUUUCAAGUUCAGAGCGUUUGGUGAAAAAAAUGACGAACACGUGUUCGCUGGUUUUAAUGCUGAUUGUAGCGAUGUUGAGUUACGUUGCGAUGCGUUAUCCAGAUAAAUACACCGUAAAUUUCCCCGAUGAGUUGUACGAUUACGGUGACCCAAUUCCGAUGCAGUUGCUAGAUGAGGGCUUCAUUUUCAACCCGUUAUUGACUGAACAGUAAGAUGUCAACCCAUCCGAAGAAUCAAAUGGUAAUCAUAUUGAUCUCCUGAUAAAACAUUAAGAUGAAAUAGAAUCGUUUGG